rnacentral:rRNA from 1 species
AUGAGAUUUAAUAGAAAUGCUACAGCUCUCCGCCCUGGAAUUUUCGCCAUACGAUAUGUGCUCAAAGCAAUGAGAAAUCCUCACGAAGAAGCUAAAAUCCAGAAAAAUACUGCCGAAGACCCUGCUAAAGAGCAUGCAAUCCAGCAAGCUCCUAUCAAAGGACACGAAGACGGUGAUAUUGAAAGCACACAAACACACAACAUGUCUCCUCAUUCAUCAGAAAAGGACACAGAACAGAACAUGAGGAACAAACCACCUGCGGCAGAAAUGGUAACUUACACCAGGCUCAACAAGAUUAAACACCUAGCAACAAGCAAAAAAAUGAGGAAAUCAGAUACCAGCACUAUUUUUACUCCUGGAGCAAAAAAGGCAAAAGCAAAAGGACAAUGCUGA